rnacentral:rRNA from 1 species
GUAAUACGUAGGUGGCAAGCGUUGUCCGGAUUUAUUGGGCGUAAAGCGAGCGCAGGCGGUUUUUUAGGUCUGAUGUGAAAGCCUUCGGCUUAACCGGAGAAGUGCAUCGGAAACCGGGAGACUUGAGUGCAGAGGAGGACAGUGGAACUCCAUGUGUAGCGGUGAAAUGCGUAGAUAUAUGGAAGAACACCAGUGGCGAAGGCGGCUGUCUGGUCUGCAACUGACGCUGAGGCUCGAAAGCAUGGGUAGCGAACAGGAUUAGAUACCCUGGUAGUCCAUGCCGUAAACAAUGAGUGCUAAGUGUUGGAGGGUUUCCGCCCUUCAGUGCUGCAGCUAACGCAUUAAGCACUCCGCCUGGGGAGUACGACCGCAAGGUUGAAACUCAAAGGAAUUGACGGGGGCCCGCACAAGCGGUGGAGCAUGUGGUUUAAUUCGAUGCUACGCGAAGAACCUUACCAGGUCUUGACAUCUUCUGCUAACCUAAGAGAUUAGGCGUUCCCUUCGGGGACGGAAUGACAGGUGGUGCAUGGUUGUCGUCAGCUCGUGUCGUGAGAUGUUGGGUUAAGUCCCGCAACGAGCGCAACUCUUAUUGUCAGUUGCCAGCAUUUAGUUGGGCACCCUGGCGAGACUGCCGGUGACAAACCGGAGGAAGGUGGGGAUGACGUCAAAUCAUCAUGCCCCUUAUGACCUGGGCUACACACGUGCUACAAUGGACGGUACAACGAGUCGCGAAACCGCGAGGUCAAGCUAAUCUCUGAAAGCCGUUCUCAGUUCGGAUUGCAGGCUGCAACUCGCCUGCAUGAAGUUGGAAUCGCUAGUAAUCGUGGAUCAGCAUGCCACGGUGAAUACGUUCCCGGGCCUUGUACACACCGCCCGUCACACCAUGAGAGUUUGUAACACCCAAAGCCGGUGAGGUAACCUUCGGGAACCAGCCGUCUAAGGUGGGACAGAUGAUUAGGGUGAAGUCGUAACAAGGUAGCCGUAGGAGAACCUGCGGCUGGAUCACCUCCUUUCUA